CGAACGCUGGCGGCGUGCUAACACAUGCAAGUCGAACGCCGAAAGGGACUUCGGCCUGAGUAAAGUGGCGCACGGGUGAGUAACGCGUAGAUAACCUGUCUUCAUGUCUGGAAUAAUACGCCGAAAGGGGUACUAAUACCGGAUAUUCUUGCUUUUCAUAAGUUAUGCAAGCAAAGGUGGCCUCUGCAUAUGCUACUGCAUGAAGAGGGGUCUGCGUACCAUUAGCUAGUAGGUGGGGUAAUGGCCUACCUAGGCGACGAUGGUUAGCGGGUCUGAGAGGAUGAUCCGCCACACUGGCACUGGAACACGGGCCAGACUCCUACGGGAGGCAGCAGUGAGGAAUAUUGCGCAAUGGGGGAAACCCUGACGCAGCGACGCCGCGUGAGUGAGGAAGGCCUUCGGGUCGUAAAGCUCUGUCAAGAGGAAAGAAGUGUACAAUGGCUAAUACCUGUUGUAUUUGACGGUACCUCUAAAGGAAGCACCGGCUAACUCCGUGCCAGCCGCCGC
rnacentral:rRNA from 1 species